GUGUUUCGAGUUACUCCGGAACACCCGGGAUUUUUCGUAUUUAGCCACGCCGGUCACGUGAUAUGAGCAAAAUGUUCCACAGGGGUACUUCCGGUUAAUUUUGUUUACACUGGUAACAAAAUUGUUUUUGACAAAAUAUAGAUUUUGCGGCACAAACUGUCGCAAAUCAGAUAAAGGAUAGCAAGGGAUAUAUAUUUACUUGGGAAGAUGUCAAAGUUUACCUUUUCCCAAACCCGGGAAAAGCGUUCACGCAGAGGAAACGAUGGCGUCAUUUGUGUAGAAAACCACGAGCAGCCGAAAUUGAGUGCGAUUAUUACAUUCCGUGAAAGCUGAACCAACAAAGAAACAUCAUUGUUCUAGCCAGUUUGCUUAUAUUAACUUUUAGGAAAACCAAGAGGUUGAUAACAAUGGCUGAUCUGCAUAUAAUGACUGCUAGUUAUUGGCUGGUAUGCAGUGAAAGGGAGCUAAAAAGGAGUAAAAAGUUCAUAUCAGCCAGGUGAGAAUUAAUUUCUUCUUUUUUGUGUGUUAUACAUAUGUAAUUCUUUUCUUUUGCUGCUUCAAAUCUUGUGUAUUUGAAAAUUUUCAGUCUAAUAUUUGGCAAUGUUAUAGGUAGUGUGGUUUAAAUAAACCAGUGUUAAGGAAUAUCCAGUAAUGGCAUGACAUCAUGAGAGUUUGGCAUACUGACAUUCAGAUGAUUAAUGAUGAAACUGAAGACCUCAAGUGAAAGGCAUGGAAAAUUAUCCUGUUCCCAUUAACCUGGAAAAGAGGAGGGAUGCCACAAUAUUGAUAAUAGACUUUUGUCAAUUUGAGAAGCAAAGAUGUAAAAAAAAAAUAAAAAAUAAAAAAAAAAAAAAUAAAAAAAAAAAAAAUAAAUAAAUAAAUAAAUAAUGCUGAAAUUAUAAUUCAUGUAUUUGUUAAAAAUACUGUUCACUGUACAUACAUGUAUAUUUUUUUUAACUUAUUUGGAAAUACAUGAAGUAAUUCAUAUUAAAACUGAAUGUAUGAGUUUUCAUGAUUUUUAUCAAUAAAGCUUACCAUAUUUAUUGUACAAAUA